GCCUCAAUAGCUAAAUUAAGCGUGAGACUCUUAAUCUUGAGAUACAGGCUUUUCUGUUUGGGGCU
rnacentral:tRNA from 1 species